ACUCCUGAAUGGAUGGCUUUGAAGUCAGAAGGUGAAUCCAUUGACGUGUCACUCCUGUUGGACCCCCAGCUGGAUCCAGAUCCAGAUCCAGGUCCAGAUCCAGAUCCAGGUCCAGGUUGGUUCCUGUGAAGAAUGAAGGUUGCUGGUGUGAGUCCUGAGCUCUGACAUGGAGAAGAUCAUGGACAGUUGGAGAUGUUCAUCUCACCUCUGAGCUUUGCUCUGGUUGUCAUGGUUACCAUCUCUGCUUUUUUUAGAGGGAGGGGCUCCCUCCUGUGGUUCCUCCCACUGAUUCAUGCUGCUGGAUUCACUGGAUCCACAUCAGCUCACACACACCUUCCUCCUUCACCUGCAGAGGAAACCCUCCUCAUCAUCAGCUGUGAUCCUCCUUCACCAACAGAUCAGCUGCUCCUCCACUGAUUGGCUCUUCUCUUGUGUUUCCUUUCUGGUUCAGGUGAAUGCAGUCAGACAGCAGUGGGAGGCAGAGGAAGCUGUCAUCAGCUGCUGCACUUCUGCUCUCCCUCCACCAGGUGGAGACAUGGAGCUGCAGCAGCAACACUUCCAUUCAGUCACUUUGGC